rnacentral:sRNA from 1 species
GCCGGGUGUGAUGGCACAUGCCUGUAAUCCCAGCAGCUCGGGAGGCUGAGGCAGGAGGAUUGAGAGUUAGUUCAAAGCCAGCCUCAGCAAAGGUGAGGCACUAAGCAACUCAGUGAGAUCCAGUCUUUA